GCCUACGGGGCGCAGCAGUGAGGAAUAUUGGUCAAUGGACGAGAGUCUGAACCAGCCAAGUAGCGUGAAGGAUGACUGCCCUAUGGGUUGUAAACUUCUUUUAUAUGGGAAUAAAGUUUUCCACGUGUGGAAUUUUGUAUGUACCAUAUGAAUAAGGAUCGGCUAACUCCGUGCCAGCAGCCGCGGUAAUACGGAGGAUCCGAGCGUUAUCCGGAUUUAUUGGGUUUAAAGGGUGCGUAGGCGGGACGGUAAGUCAGCGGUAAAAUGCGGAGCUCAACUCCGUCGAGCCGUUGAAACUGCCGUUC
rnacentral:rRNA from 1 species